rnacentral:rRNA from 1 species
GAACGCUGGCGGCGUGCUUAACACAUGCAAGUCGAGCGGAAAGGCCCUUCGGGGUACUCGAGCGGCGAACGGGUGAGUAACACGUGAGUAACCUGCCCUUGGCUCUGGGAUAAGCCCGGGAAACUGGGUCUAAUACCGGAUAUGACACACUCUCGCAUGAGACGUGUGUGGAAAGUUUUUCGGCUGGGGAUGGACUCGCGGUCUAUCAGCUUGUUGGUGGGGUGAUGGCCUACCAAGGCGACGACGGAUAGCCGGCCUGAGAGGGUGACCGGCCACACUGGGACUGAGACACGGCCCAGACUCCUACGGGAGGCAGCAGUGGGGAAUAUUGCGCAAUGGGCGGAAGCCUGACGCAGCGACGCCGCGUGGGGGAUGAAGGCCUUCGGGUUGUAAACCUCUUUCACCACCGACGAAGCUAACGUGACGGUAGGUGGGGAAGAAGCGCCGGCUAACUACGUGCCAGCAGCCGCGGUAAUACGUAGGGCGCAAGCGUUGUCCGGAAUUAUUGGGCGUAAAGAGCUCGUAGGCGG